GCCGGCGUGGUGAAAUGGCAGACACGGUAGACUCAAAAUCUACUGGCCGUAAGGUCGUAUGGGUUCAAGUCCCAUCGCCGGCA
rnacentral:tRNA from 1 species